CCUUUGCCGGCGAUGUCCGAAUGGGGAAACCCAGUGCAAUUCGUUGCACUAUCGUUAACUGAAUACAUAGGUUAACGAGGCGAACCGGGGGAACUGAAACAUCUAAGUACCCCGAGGAAAAGAAAUCAACCGAGAUUCCCCCAGUAGCGGCGAGCGAACGGGGAGCAGCCCAGAGUCUGAAUCAGCUUGUGUGUUAGUGGAACGGUCUGGAAAGUCCGACGGUACAGGGUGAUAGUCCCGUACACCAAAAUGCACAGGCUGUGAACUCGAAGAGUAGGGCGGGACACGUGGUAUCCUGUCUGAAUAUGGGGGGACCAUCCUCCAAGGCUAAAUACUCCUGACUGACCGAUAGUGAACCAGUACCGUGAGGGAAAGGCGAAAAGAACCCCGGCGAGGGGAGUGAAAAAGAACCUGAAACCGUGUACGUACAAGCAGUGGGAGCACCUUCGGGUGUGACUGCGUACCUUUUGUAUAAUGGGUCAGCGACUUAUAUUCUGUAGCAAGGUUAACCGUAUAGGGGAGCCGCAGGGAAACCGAGUCUUAACUGGGCGUUAAGUUGCAGGGUAUAGACCCGAAACCCGGUGAUCUAGCCAUGGGCAGGUUGAAGGUUGGGUAACACUAACUGGAGGACCGAACCGACUAAUGUUGAAAAAUUAGCGGAUGACUUGUGGCUGGGGGUGAAAGGCCAAUCAAACCGGGAGAUAGCUGGUUCUCCCCGAAAGCUAUUUAGGUAGCGCCUCGUGAAUUCAUCUUCGGGGGUAGAGCACUGUUUCGGCUAGGGGGUCAUCCCGACUUACCAACCCGAUGCAAACUACGAAUACCGAAGAAUGUUAUCACGGGAGACACACGGCGGGUGCUAACGUCCGUCGUGAAGAGGGAAACAACCCAGACCGCCAGCUAAGGUCCCAAAGUCAUGGUUAAGUGGGAAACGAUGUGGGAAGGCACAGACAGCCAGGAUGUUGGCUUAGAAGCAGCCAUCAUUUAAAGAAAGCGUAAUAGCUCACUGGUCGAGUCGGCCUGCGCGGAAGAUGUAACGGGGCUAAACCAUGCACCGAAGCUGCGGCAGCGACACUAUGUGUUGUUGGGUAGGGGAGCGUUCUGUAAGCCUGCGAAGGUGUGCUGUGAGGCAUGCUGGAGGUAUCAGAAGUGCGAAUGCUGACAUAAGUAACGAUAAAGCGGGUGAAAAGCCCGCUCGCCGGAAGACCAAGGGUUCCUGUCCAACGUUAAUCGGGGCAGGGUGAGUCGACCCCUAAGGCGAGGCCGAAAGGCGUAGUCGAUGGGAAACAGGUUAAUAUUCCUGUACUUGGUGUUACUGCGAAGGGGGGACGGAGAAGGCUAUGUUAGCCGGGCGACGGUUGUCCCGGUUUAAGCAUGUAGGCUGGUUAUCCAGGCAAAUCCGGAUAAUCAAGGCUGAGGUGUGAUGACGAGGCACUACGGUGCUGAAGUAACAAAUGCCCUGCUUCCAGGAAAAGCCUCUAAGCAUCAGGUAACAUCAAAUCGUACCCCAAACCGACACAGGUGGUCAGGUAGAGAAUACCAAGGCGCUUGAGAGAACUCGGGUGAAGGAACUAGGCAAAAUGGUGCCGUAACUUCGGGAGAAGGCACGCUGGUGUGUAGGUGAAGCCCCUGCGGGUGGAGCUGAGACCAGUCGAAGAUACCAGCUGGCUGCAACUGUUUAUUAAAAACACAGCACUGUGCAAACACGAAAGUGGACGUAUACGGUGUGACGCCUGCCCGGUGCCGGAAGGUUAAUUGAUGGGGUUAUCCGUAAGGAGAAGCUCUUGAUCGAAGCCCCGGUAAACGGCGGCCGUAACUAUAACGGUCCUAAGGUAGCGAAAUUCCUUGUCGGGUAAGUUCCGACCUGCACGAAUGGCGUAAUGAUGGCCAGGCUGUCUCCACCCGAGACUCAGUGAAAUUGAACUCGCUGUGAAGAUGCAGUGUACCCGCGGCAAGACGGAAAGACCCCGUGAACCUUUACUAUAGCUUGACACUGAACAUUGAGCCUUGAUGUGUAGGAUAGGUGGGAGGCUUUGAAGCGUGGACGCCAGUCUGCGUGGAGCCAACCUUGAAAUACCACCCUUUAAUGUUUGAUGUUCUAACGUUGGCCCCUUACCGGGGUUGCGGACAGUGUCUGGUGGGUAGUUUGACUGGGGCGGUCUCCUCCCAAAGCGUAACGGAGGAGCACGAAGGUUAGCUAAUCCUGGUCGGACAUCAGGAGGUUAGUGCAAUGGCAUAAGCUAGCUUGACUGCGAGCGUGACGGCGCGAGCAGGUGCGAAAGCAGGUCAUAGUGAUCCGGUGGUUCUGAAUGGAAGGGCCAUCGCUCAACGGAUAAAAGGUACUCCGGGGAUAACAGGCUGAUACCGCCCAAGAGUUCAUAUCGACGGCGGUGUUUGGCACCUCGAUGUCGGCUCAUCACAUCCUGGGGCUGAAGUAGGUCCCAAGGGUAUGGCUGUUCGCCAUUUAAAGUGGUACGCGAGCUGGGUUUAGAACGUCGUGAGACAGUUCGGUCCCUAUCUGCCGUGGGCGCUGGAGAAUUGAGGGGGGCUGCUCCUAGUACGAGAGGACCGGAGUGGACGCAUCACUGGUGUUCGGGUUGUCAUGCCAAUGGCACUGCCCGGUAGCUAAAUGCGGAAGAGAUAAGUGCUGAAAGCAUCUAAGCACGAAACUUGCCCCGAGAUGAGUUCUCCCUGAGACUUUAAGUCUCCUGAAGGAACGUUAAAGACGAUGACGUUGAUAGGCCGGGUGUGUAAGCGCAGCGAUGCGUUGAGCUAACCGGUACUAAUGAACCGUGAGGCUUAACCUUACAACGCCGAAG
rnacentral:rRNA from 1 species